rnacentral:rRNA from 1 species
UACGUAGGGGGCAAGCGUUUGUCCGGAAUCAUUGGGCGUAAAGCGCACGUAGGCGGCCCGGUAAGUCCGCUCUGAAAGUCAGAGGCUCAACCUCUGGAGGCGAGUGGAUACUGCCGGGCUAGAGUCCGGAAGAGGCGAGUGGAAUUCCUGGUGUAGCGGUGGAAUGCGCAGAUAUCAGGAGGAACACCGGUGGCGAAGGCGGCAUCCUGGACCAAUACUGACGCUGAGGAGCGAAAGCCAGGGGAGCAAACGGG